GAGUGAGGGACGGGUUAGUGAGUGGAUCCGAGAGCAUACAAACCCGACCCGACCCGAUCCUUCUCCCGUUUCACCCCUCGCCACAAAUUCGCAAACUGAAUCCGCUUCUGGGGGGCUCUCUUCGUUUUUGGCUUGGGCUCCUCGUUUCCAAGCAACAUGGGCCACCACCACCACCACUACGGCCACCAUCACGGCCACCACCACUGCCAUGAGAGUGAUAGCCCGUUCGACGACCCCCUUCUUGGCCUGCUGCUGCUGCCCCUGCGUUCUGGUAACUUCCAUUUUUAAGGGUAUCGAACGAUGUGUCUUUGCCACUUGCUACCCUUUUCUCCGAUGCUUUGGCUGGGACGAACAUAGUCAUCACCACCACCACCACCAUAACUACCAUAGCCAUUUCGCUUAAAUAAGUUCUCAGUUUAUUUUACAUCGCCAUUUAUAUUAGCGACGAAUGAUAUUUACUACUUGGCUUGUGAGACAUUUUGUCGGUAACAACCGUUUAUAAUGGGAAUCCGAUGAGCUACUCAAAGUUUGAAGGCUCCAUGUAUAUGUUAGUAAUUGGUAUUAAGUGCCGUGUAGUUCUUUUGGGUUCAAAUGAUAAUUGAAUACGGCAUUACUAGUGCCAUGAAAAUCAGUUUAGUGAUUUUGCUACAA